rnacentral:rRNA from 1 species
UAACUUCCGCACUGCGCGAAAGCGUGACGGAGCAAUGCCGCGUGUAGGAUGAGGGCGCUCUGCGUCGUAAACUACUGUCAGACCCUAGAACCAACGAUCAGGGUCAGAGGAAGGGCCGGCUAAACUCGUGCCAGCAGCCGCGGUAAUACGAGUGGCCCAAGCGUUAAUCGGAAUCACUGGGCUUAAAGCGUGCGCAGGCGGACCUUCAGGCGUCCCGUGAAAUACCCCGGCUCAACCGGGGAAUGGCUGGGCGAACCGUUGGUCUUGAGGCAGGUAGGGGGGUGCAGAACUGUCGGUGGAGCGGUGAAAUGCGUAGAUAUCGUCAGGAAUGCCGAAGGCGAAGGCGGCACCCUGGGCCUGUCCUGACGCUCAUGCACGAAAGCGUGGGGAGCAAACAGGAUUAGAUACCCUGGUAGUCCACGCCGUAAACGAUGCACACUAGAUCGGAGUAGGUCUGACCCUUUUCCGGUCGAAGCGAAAGCGUUAAGUGUGCCGCCUGGGGAGUACGGUCGCAAGGCUAAAACUUAAAGGAAUUUGACGGG